rnacentral:lncRNA from 1 species
GGUUAGUGUUUUAUUUUCACAUGAAAGCAUACAUUACUAAAGAUAAGUAAAAUGAAUAUAAAUAAGAAAUUAAACAUGUUUUUAAAAAGAAUUGAGUAUGUGUCUGCUGAGUUAGCCUGUGAAAAGUCAGGAGCCUGUAAUUCAGUGAUUGUCGUUUGUUUAUGUGUUACAUAUUUGUUUUUAAAUAAAUAAGGCCGUUAUAUCCACCUAUGAUUUGUAGUUGCAUAGUGCAACUACAAAUCAUUGUUCUGGCCUUUCAUUGAUACGGUGUAGCAAUGUUUAGAGUUUUUUGGAAAUGUGUUGAUUAAAGGGAAUCUUUCAGCAGAGACCACG